rnacentral:rRNA from 1 species
GUGGGGGAUAUUGCACAAUGGAGGAAACUCUGAUGCAGCGACGCCGCGUGAGUGAAGAAGUAUUUCGGUAUGUAAAGCUCUAUCAGCAGGGAAGAUAAUGACAGUACCUGACUAAGAAGCCCCGGCUAACUACGUGCCAGCAGCCGCGGUAAUACGUAGGGGGCAAGCGUUAUCCGGAUGUACUGGGUGUAAAGGGAGCGUAGACGGAAUGGCAAGUCUGAAGUGAAAUCCUGCGGCUUAACUGCAGAAUUGCGUUGGAAACUGUCAAUCUGGGGUGUUGGAGAGGUAAGCGGAAUUCCUGGUGUAGCGGUGAAAUGCGUAGAUAUCAGGAAGAACACCGGAGGCGAAGGCGGCUUACUGGACAAUAACUGACGUUGAGGCUCGAAAGCGUGGGAAGCAAACAGGAUUAGAAACCCGAGUAGUCC